UAGUAACAGUUCCUGGGAAUAUUUGUAAGGUCUCCUGGACAAUUUCAGUUUGUUAGUAGGAAAGAAAGUAGUUACUCCAUUCUUACUACACAUGUGUAAAGAAAAUAUCAACAGAUAAAAUAAGACUUUUAAGUACGCUCUUUCAGUUAGGUUCGUACCCAUGCUCCUUUAGAUCCUUCAGAAAAGUCUAACAUUUCUGUCAUUCAUGGCUUUUCCUUGCAAAGGCUCUUUCCCAGUAUGCCACAUUUGUUCAGUUGUGGAGGAAUACUGUUUUCUAUUACACUUGCUUGAGCUUGUCCAUUACAAAUUGUAAAUGCUCCAUUGAACUGUAAUUCCCAGAAUUUGCCUUUGGCACAUUUUAAAGGUUUCUAUUGUAAUUGCCACCCUCCAUUAUUUUUGUAAUGAGACCUAUUUAAGUGAUACAUUGCAUGCUGAAGGAUGUGGACAUGGUGUAUUGGAAUUCUUUUUGGGAGCUCUAGUGAAAAUCAUCUCUUCAUGGCAGCUUGCUUGAAAACUCUUUUUACUGAUAUUUCAAUAUAAAGAAGAUUCCUGAAGUUUAUUCUUUUUUUU